CGCGUAGGUGGUAGUGCAAGUCUGGGGUGGAAUCCCAGGGCUUAACCCUGGAACUGCCUUGGAAACUGUAUUACUUGAGUCAGUGAGGGGAGGGUAGAAUUCCUGGUGUAGCGGUGAAAUGCGUAGAUAUCAGGAGGAAGGCCUGUGGCGAAGGCGGCCCUCUGGCGCUGAACUGACACUGAGGCGCGAAAGCGUGGGGAGCAAACAGGAUUAGAUACCCUGGUAGUCCACGCCCUAAACGGUGGGUACUAGGUGUAGGGCUCGUGAGGGUUCUGUGCCGAAGCGAAAGCAUUAAGUACCCCGCCUGGGGAGUACGGCCGCAAGGUUGAA
rnacentral:rRNA from 1 species